rnacentral:rRNA from 1 species
AACGAACGCUGGCGGCAUGCCUAACACAUGCAAGUCGAACGAGACCUCCGGGUCUAGUGGCGCACGGGUGCGUAACGCGUGGGAACCUGCCCUUAGGUUCGGAAUAACUCCCCGAAAGGGGUGCUAAUACCGGAUAAUGUCUUCGGACCAAAGAUUUAUCGCCUUUGGAUGGGCCCGCGUUGGAUUAGCUGGUUGGUAGGGUAAAAGCCUACCAAGGCGACGAUCCAUAGCUGGUCUGAGAGGAUGAUCAGCCACACUGGGACUGAGACACGGCCCAGACUCCUACGGGAGGCAGCAGUGGGGAAUAUUGGACGAUGGGCGAAAGCCUGAUCCAGCAAUGCCGGGUGAGUGAUGAAGGCGUUAGGGUAGUAAAGCUCUUUUACCCGGGAUGAUAAUGACGGUACCGGGAGAAUAAGCUCCGGCUAACUCCGUG